rnacentral:sRNA from 1 species
AUCAAAGCCGAGUGGACUCCCUCAUUCCCUGGAUCAAACAGCAUACAAUACUGAUGUCAGAUAAAACUUUUCCCCAAAACCCUGUUGAACUAAAGGUAAAGUCAAGGACUUAAAUUUUUUGGGUAAAAUCUUUCCAGGGAGUAAGUCUCCAAGCUUAUCACUGCUGGCUUCUAGGUGAGGUGGUAUGAAAAAUUGGGUCCUAUAGUUUGUGUCCAUUUAUUCACCAAAUAUUAAUUUUAUAGGCACUUUAUAACCAAUAUAUACACUUCAAAGAAACAGAAAUUCUGGCCAAGGAGAGAGAAAAGGGAAGAAUUGAGGAAUUAUAUAAAUUACUAGAGGCGUGGAUUGAAUUUGGCCGAAUUAAACUGCCUCAAGGUUAUCACCCUAAUGAUGUAGAAGAAGAGUGGGGAAAGCUCAUCAUAGAGAUGCUGGAACGAGAGAAAUCACUUCGGCCGGCUGUGGAGAGGCUGGAAUUGCUGCUACAGAUUGCAAACAAAAUC